GACGUAGGGCGCGAGCGUUGUCCGGAUUUAUUGGGCGUAAAGAGCUCGUAGGCGGCUUGUUGCGUCGACUGUGAAAAACCCGCGGCUCAACCGUGUGGUCUGCAGUCGAUACGGGCAGGCUAGAAUUCGGUAGGGGGAGACUGGAAUUCCUGGUGUAGCGGUGAAAAUGCGCAGAUAUCAGGAGGAACACCGGUGGCGAAGGCGGGGUCUCUGGGCCGAAUAUUGACGCUGAGGAGCGAAAGCGUGGGGAGCGAACAGG
rnacentral:rRNA from 1 species